rnacentral:rRNA from 1 species
UACAGAGGUCCCAAGCGUUGUUCGGAUUCAUUGGGCGUAAAGGGUGCGUAGGCGGCGGGGUAAGUCGGGUGUGAAAUCUCAGGGCUCAACCCUGAAACUGCACUCGAUACUGCUCUGCUUGAGGACUGGAGAGGAGACUGGAAUUCACGGUGUAGCAGUGAAAUGCGUAGAUAUCGUGAGGAAGACCAGUGGCGAAGGCGGGUCUCUGGACAGUUCCUGACGCUGAGGCGCGAAGGCCAGGGGAGCAAACGGG